AUAUGCACAGUCCCUAAAAUAUAUUUGCCUUUUUUCCUCUAAAGUGUUUGUUUUAUGGUAAUACUAGGUAUUGCUUUGCCUGUUGUAUGGACAUGACAUUGUGUCAUUACUGACAAUUAAAGGGUACAGCAUUAUAAAGGACAAAUGGACAAAUAAUCCAUUAAUGUAAAGGACCAUCAAUAUAACUUUAAUAGCUGAUUUAAACUGUCCAUAUUAUUUAAAUGGAUUAUUUCUCUGUUUUAAAUGGAUUGUAUAAAACUGUUGCUUAAUGUUAAUAAUCAUGUUGUGUCAGCUAUUGCCUGUUAUGUUAAGCAUGCACAGCAGCAAUACAUUUCAACUCUGACCUGCAUUAGAUGAAUGAAAUGAAGAUUUGUACACUGGGGUCUGAGCAGUUCAUUUCAAGCGAUGUACCUCAACAUUUUAAACAUUUCAGCAGGAUGCUUAUAUUUCAGUGUAGCCAUUUCAUUGGCUUUUAAUGAAAUGGGUCAUUUUCUGUCAUUCUGAUGCAUUAUGAUGUUUUUCCUCCAAGUUUGUUACAAGAGUAAAUUCUGCUCAAAUUA